rnacentral:snoRNA from 1 species
AAGAUCAUACUUUUAGGGAUCAUUUCUAUAGUAUGCAUCGCCAUGACUUCAGGUAAAACUGACAGUCUACCAAACCACGAGGACGAUAGACAGCCUCUCUUUCUGAGCGCGAAAGCCAACCAGGGUGAGUGCCAUCUCAGGCAAGUAACCCUGGUUCUUGAUGACCGUUCCUCUCCAGUCACAUGUGGCAGAGUUGGAGGGAAGAGAGGCAUUCUGAGUGGU